GCGGCGUUGGUCCAGUGGCUAAGACUCCGGCCUUCCAAGCCGGCGACCCGGGUUCAAAUCCCGGACGCCGCA
rnacentral:tRNA from 1 species